AAGUAUAUACAUUUUCGUAAUGUAGAAACUGCGAACGGCUCAUUAUAACAGUUAUAAUCUACUUGACAUUACAAAACUUUUAUAUGGAUACCUACGGAAAAGCUGUAGCUAAUACAUGAGCGAUGUAAUAAAUAUUCAAUAUAGAAUAUUUAUUAUGGUAUUUGUUAGCUUUUUUUAACAAGAAAAAGACAAGUGGGGAGUCCUAACAAAGAAGCGACACGUAUAAUGUUUUUAUUGACAUUAUGAAGUGCGUAUCAAUCAAGUUUCUGACCUAUCAGCUUUUGAUGUUAGGGUAUUGGCCUAACAUGGCUAUGACGGGUAACGGGGAAUUGGAGUUCGAUUCCGGAGAGGGAGCCUGAGAAAUAGCUACCACAUCUAAGGAAGGCAGCAGGCGCGUAAAUUACCCAAUUCUGACAAAGAGAGGUAGUGACAAGAAAUAACGAUGUAAGAUCUAUUAUUAGAUUUUACAAUUGGAAUGGUGGGAAUCUAAACCCUUCCCAGAGAAGCAAUUGGAGGGCAAGUCUGGUGCCAGCAGCCGCGGUAAUUCCAGCUCCAAUAGCGUAUAUUAAAAUUGUUGCAGUUAAAACGCUCGUAGUUGAUAUUCAAAGAAAUUUAUUAUGAAAAAUGUUGCUACAAUUAUACAUUUUUUUGUAUAUUUUGUAUGUAAUAAUUUUCACUCGAAAUUUCUUUUUUAUCAUAUAUGUGUUAUUUAUUGAUAUAUAUAUGAUAGUUACUUUGAGUAAAUUAGAGUGUUCAAAGCAAGUGACUUUUGCAAGGGGUAAUACCCGCUUGAAUACUACAGCAUGGAAUAACUUUAUUGAAAAAGUCAAAUGGUGUUUCUUUUUAGAAAUCCAAUAUUUUUGUUUGUUUCUAAAACACUUUUUCUUGAUUUGGCUUAGUUACGAUUAAUAGGAGUAGUUUGGGGACCUUCGUAUUCAGAUGUUAGAGGUGAAAUUCUUAGAUUUUCUGGAGACGAACAACUGCGAAAGCAUUGGUCUAAAAUACUUCCAUUAAUCAAGAACGAAAGUUAAGGGAGUGAAGACGAUCAGAUACCGUCGUAAUCUUAACCAUAAACUAUGCCGACUGGGAGUCGGAUAGGUACUUAUUGUAAUUAUAAUAUGUUAGUUCACUCUAAUAAUUUUAUAAUUACUAUUGCCCACUUAUUCGGUACCCUGGGAGAAAUCAAAGUCUUUGGGUUCUGGGGCGAGUAUUCACGCAAGUGAGAAAGUUAAAAGAGUUGACGGAAGGGCACCACCAGGCGUGGAGCUUGCGGCUUAAUUUGACUCAACACGGGGAACCUCACUAGUUUAAGACAAGAGUAGGAUUGACAAUAUUUACAUAUUGAUUGAAGCUCUUUCUUGAUUUCUUGGUUGGUGAUGCAUGGCCGUUUUUAGUUCGUGAAUAUGAUUUGUCUGGUUAAUUCCGAUAACGAACGAGAUCUCCACCUACUAAUUAGUUCAUAGUGCAAUAUGUUUUAAUAAUAUAUAUAUUAUGUUUAUUAAUAUAUUGUGAUAUUUUUUAUAUAUUAUAUGAACCCCAUGGUUUAUUAUGAUAUUAUAAUUAAUGUCUGAUAUUAAUUAAAUAUAUAUAUAAAUUAUUAAGACGCACUAUCUAUUGUAACUUCUUAGAGGGACAUGGAAUGUUUAAUUCCAGGAAGUUGGAGGCAACAACAGGUCUGUGAUGUCCUUAGAUGAACUAGGCUGCACGCGUGCUACACUGAUGCGUGUAGCGAGCUAUUAUUAAAGAAAAUAAAAUUAAAAUAUUUCGUAAGAGAUAUUAUAUAAUUUUUUUUCUUUCCUGAUUUGAAAAAAUUGGGGAAUCUGUAAUACGCAUCGUGAUGGGGAUAGACGAUUGCAAUUAUUUGUCUUGAACGAGGAAUGCCUAGUAAGCAUGAUUCAUCAGAUUGUGCUGACUACGUCCCUGCCCUUUGUACACACCGCCCGUCGCUCCUACCGAUUGAAAGAUAUGAUGAAUUGUUUGGACGGAUUUUUUUAUUUUAAUAAUUUUAUUAUUAAAAUUUAAAAAAAAUUUGGAAGAAUUGUAAAUCAUAUCUUUUAAAGGAAG
rnacentral:rRNA from 1 species